UGGGGGAUACAUUUUUUCUUUUCUUUUUCGGGUUGGGGUCAAUAUGCAACAGCAUAGUGUAUUGCACAAAAUCAACAAAAAAGGGGGUAUUUUAUUUUUAUUUUUCGAGGGGGUGGGACAAUUCGCAACAGCAAAGUGCAAAACCAAAAAAAUAAGUAUCAAUUCAAAUUAUAUAAUCAGUUUUAAGUUCCUCGACUACAGUUAUUCUGUGUCAGAAACCUAUUAUGUGUCAAAUAUUAAAUUACAUUUCAAAUUCAGACCUGUAUCAAGCGUGAAUAUUGUGUCCAUUUUUGUCUGAGCGGUUAAAAAACCUUUAACGGGUUGGACCUCUGCGGUCAUAUCCAGCUGCGUUCGGCAAAGCAAUUUAUUUAACCCUUAAAAUAUAUACAUAUUAAGUUGUGAAUAUGAUGAAAAUGAUAAUCAAAAUAAGUUUAAAUUGCCCUGGUGUGGAAUAACUUUGUGGUAAAUUGAUCAUACUUCUUAAUUUCAUUAUUUCAAUCAGUUAUAAAUUUUGUAUACUGCCUUAAUGAUAACAUGACUUUAAUAACUGUUUAAAUUUGUUUGCUGAGCACUAUCAAUUAUGCCUGUAUUCGGUAAUUUCCGCUAAAAAAA
rnacentral:lncRNA from 1 species